rnacentral:rRNA from 1 species
AUUGAACGCUGGCGGCAUGCCUUACACAUGCAAGUCGAACGGCAGCGGGGGAGAAGCUUGCUUUUCCUGCCGGCGAGUGGCGAACGGGUGAGUAAUACAUCGGAACGUGCCCUGUAGUGGGGGAUAACUAGUCGAAAGAUUAGCUAAUACCGCAUACGACCUGAGGGUGAAAGUGGGGACCGCAAGGCCUCAUGCUAUAGGAGCGGCCGAUGUCUGAUUAGCUAGUUGGUGGGGUAAAGGCCUACCAAGGCGACGAUCAGUAGCUGGUCUGAGAGGACGAUCAGCCAGACUGGGACUGAGAAACGGCCCAGACUCCUACGGGAGGCAGCAGUGGGAAAUUUUGGACAAUGGGCGAAAGCCUGAUCCAGCAAUGCCGCGUGUGUGAAGAAGGCCUUCGGGUUGUAAAGCACUUUUGUCCGGAAAGAAAUGGCUCUGGUUAAUACCUGGGGUCGAUGACGGUACCGGAAGAAUAAGGACCGGCUAACUACGUGCCAGCAGCCGCCGUAA